UGAGCUAUGGGAACCUCCCCAGGGUUGGCUGUCUGAGCUCUCACUACCUGCAUCCACAUGACUGAGCUAUGGGAACCUCCCCAGGGUUGGCUGUCUGAGCUCUCACUCCCUGCAUCCACAUGACUGAGCUAUGGGAACCUCCCCAGGGUUGGCUGUCUGAGCUCUCACUCCCUGCAUCCACAUGACUGAGCUAUGGGAACCUCCCCAGGGUUGGCUGUCUGAGCUCUCACUGCCUGCAUCCAUAUGACUGAGCUAUGGGAACCUCCCCAGGGUUGGCUGUCUGAGCUCUCACUACCUGCAUCCACAGCCAUAUGACUGAGCUAUGGGAACCUCCCCAGGGUUGGCUGUCUGAGCUCUCACUCCCUGCAUCCACAGCUAUAUGACUGAGCUAUGGGAACCUCCCCAAGGUUGGCUGUCUGAGCUCUCACUACCUGCAUCCACAUGACUGAGCUAUGGGAACCUCCCCAGGGUUGGCUGUCUGAGCUCUCACUCCCUGCAUCCAUAUGACUGAGCUAUGGGAACCUCCCCAGGGUUGGCUGUCUGAGCUCUCACUCCCUGCAUCCAUAUGACUGAGCUAUGGGAACCUCCCCAGGGUUGGCUGUCUGAGCUCUCACUCCCUGCAUCCACAGCUAUAUGACUGAGCUAUGGGAACCUCCCCAGGGUUGGCUGUCUGAGCUCUCACUACCUGCAUCCACAUGACUGAGCUAUGGGAACCUCCCCAGGGUUGGCUGUCUGAGCUCUCACUACCUGCAUCCACAUGACUGAGCUAUGGGAACCUCCCCAGGGUUGGCUGUCUGAGCUCUCACUGCCUCUGUUCAUAAAGGGAGCUUCACUCACUAUUCAGCUCUCAUUCAUGACUACCAUCAGCAUGAAACACUGGAGAAUCUGACUGGGGGGCGGGGGUGACAAAAGGGGGGGGUACUUUUCCAGUCUAAUCCACCCUUUUCAUCAGAAUUGUUCCAACUAAAACUAUAGAGCUGCAUCAUACUUUCUAUAUUUUACGUCUAGCUGAAGAGUCUGUGCUUGAGGAAGGAUGAUUUGUGUUUUAGGUCUGAUAAUGUUUACUAGUUUAUACAAGGCUUGGCUAACAAUGUCACAGAAACGAUGCGAGCUCUUCAAUGGGACCCGAAGGCUGUGUGUGGUGAUUCUGGAUGGUCAGAUGGCAACGAGGAAGUAGGGGGACUCGUUCAAUCUCGUUCUGUCACCAGAGCUCGGUGCUUAUUAUGGGAUGUAUUAGGUUACGAUAUCCGACUUCUUCGAUAUAGCGUUAGCGAUAUGUUAGAGAAAGAACCCACUGAACGAUUCAGAAUAUGAAGAAUCAUAUUUGUCUUGGUAAAAUGUAUUUUAUAACAACGGAAGUGAAAUGCAAUCACCAAAGCGCGUUACGGACACCCUUUGUGUUUGAGAGACAAGUGCACAUUUUUAUUUAUGUUUUCAAUAAACAUUGAAAUAUAGUUUACAUGUUGUCAACAGUCUAAUAAAAAAAAGAACGAUCUCGCUCUCCCAGAACAAGCUUGGCUAGUGGUAAAAACCUGCUUAUUCAGACAAAAGACCAAUCUAAGCCGACCACGUCUCUGCUAAACAACCAACCCAUCCAUUUGUUAGCUUACUAACUGGGCCUGGCAGUCAUACACAUCAUAUGAAACUAAUGAGGUGGUAAGUGCAGCACCAUGCUCACAACACUAAAUGCUUUACCAAGCUAGCUAUCUGGCCACUGUCGCUAGUGACAUCAUUAACUCGCAAUGGAUCAGUUUUCACGAAGCAGCUGCCUAGAGACCCUUUACCUACCUACCUAGCUAGCUAGCGAAUCAUGCUAACCAUUUAGCUUACGUUAGCCAGCUAGCUAAAAGUCUAUCUAUGGGGCUGUAUGCGAUUAUGGAAAGUGAAUUAAAAAAAUAUAUAUCUUUCUGUGGCCAUCUGACUAGUAUCAAAAAGGGCAUUCUGCAACAUCAGUGCAGCUAGCUAACAUUGACUAGACCGUAAAGCAACACACACGGACAUCCAUUGCCAAACAACGCUAUUGCCAUCUUCUGGUUUAAAGUAUUUUAACGAGGCUGAGGACUUCGCUGUGUGACAACUCUGUUCGGAGGUGCUAAGUACUGUCGGCAGGCAAACAUUUGACAAUCCUACUGAUGUGUCUGUUAUUGAUUAAAUACCUUGUUAACAGCGCAAUUUUUGAAGCCACAACUAAUGUCUGGAUUGGACAUUUUGUGCCUUUCCUUUAUUGCUCAUUUGGAACACAGGAGGUUGGUGGCACCUUAAUUAGGGAGGACGGGCUCGUGGUAAUGGCUGGAGUGGAAUCAGUGGAACGGUAUCAAAUACAUUCAUUUUUUAAACCUUUAUUUAACUAGGCAAGUCAGUUAAGAACAAAUUCUUAUUUUCAAUGACGGCCUAGGAACAGUGGGUUAACUGCCUUGUUCAGGGGCAGAACGACAGUCAGCUCGGGGAUUUGAACUUGCAACCUUCCGGUUAUUAGCCCAACGUUCUAACCACUAGGCUACCCUGCUGCCCCACAUGGUUUGAUACCCUUCCAUUCGCUCCAUUGCAGCCAUUUAUUAUGAGCCGUCCUCCCCCCAGCAGCCUCCUCUGAUUUACACCAGCUGGUCUAGCGGUCAGUUGUAUUCAAACAGUGCUUUUCUCUCUCUCUCCGUGCUUCACCUCCUGCUAGGAUGCCAAAGUAAGUGUUACAUCUACCUGAUCUGCUUUAUUUAAUCGUGGCGUUGGAGCAGUUACUCAAGUCAUUGCAUUUAGGCUUCAAACACCUGUUUCUUGUAUGCACUCCAUAAACCAAUCAAACGGGUCCAUCUUCAGACUGACUACAGUGUUUUAUCCUUCUCAACUGUCCUGUUGUCUGUUCCCUCCCUCCUUUAGGAAGCUGAAGCCCCACGGAGUGUCCUGGAGGAGAUUGGCCUGACAUAAAGUCCCUCCAUCACUGCCCCAACUAUCUCCCUCUCUUUACUCUCUCUCUCUUCACGGGGGCCCAAACAUCUUGUUCUCGCUCCUUUGAUGUGCUGUAGUGUUGUCUUGUACUAAAACUCUUAUCAUGUUGUUAAUGUUACUUGUGCCAACUGUCUGUUCCUUGUUUUUUUUUUUGUACCUCGUCAAACACUCACCUUUUGAAACCCCUGGGGUUUAUGCAGCCAGUGGCCACAAACUACACCAAUAAUAACUGAAAUCUCACCCACCUUCCUUAAGUCCGUGUUUUUGUUGUACGUGACAUGUCCGUGACGGGCAUUUUAACUCCAGUCUCGUCUAGAGAAUUUAAAACAAUUCAAAGUAUAUCAUAAAGAGUAAGAAACCCCUUUUUUUACUUAAAUGGGAUGUUCACAAGUAAAGAAAAAGCAAAACGAUGUCAGUAUUUUUAAAGAAGUGUUACAGUUUAAAAGUAUUAAUGUUCAUUCUUUCAUUGUUUGACCAAAGAACACUGUGUUAUAAUCAUAUCGUUUUGAAGAUAAAUGGUGUUUAGGGGGAAAAUAUGUGCUCUCUCAGGGUUGGGGUCAAUUCUAUUUAAAUUCCAAUCAAUUCAGAAAGUAAACCAAUUUACACUUUUUACUCAUUGAAAAUCAUUGAAGGAAAUGUGCAUUGGAAUAUCAGUGUAUUCCUGAAUUUAAAUGGAAUUGACCCAAGCCUUGCUCUGUAUAGCCUGAGUCCCAGAUCUUUGUGCUGUCUUGCUACCUCCUGUGUCGUUCAGUUGGGAAGACGGCACAAACACACCUGGGACUCCUCCCAUUCUGCAUGCUUUAAAAGGCAAGGGAAGAGUAACACCGGGGACUCCGCCCACUCUGCAUGCUUUAAAAGGCAAGGGAAGAGUAACACCGGGGACUCCGCCCACUCUGCAUGCUUUAAAAGGCAAGGGAAGAGUAACACUGGGGACUCCGCCCACUCUGCAUGCUUUAAAAGGCAAGGGAAGAGUAACACUGGGGACUCCGCCCACUCUGCAUGCUUUAAAAGGCAAGGGAAGAGUAACAUCCUGGGGACUCCGCCCACUCUGCAUGCUUUAAAAGGCAAGGGAAGAGUAGCAUCCUGGGGACUCUGCCCACUCUGCGUGCUUUAAAAGGCAAGGGAAGAGUAACACUGGGGACUCCUCCCACUCUGCAUGCUUUAAAAGGCAAGGGAAGAGUAACUCCUCCCACUCUGCAUGCUUUAAAAGGCAAGGGAAGAGUAACACUGGGGACUCCGCCCACUCUGCAUACUUUAAAAGGCAAGGGAAGAGUAACUCCUCCCACUCUGCAUGCUUUAAAAGGCAAGGGAAGAGUAACUCCGCCCACUCUGCAUGCUUUAUAAGGCAAGGGAAGAGUAACACAAGUGAAAAUGAACAAAAAGGGAUUCUGUUACUAAUCAAACUUCUAUUCGUCACACAAUGUUUUAACUGUCAAUGAAAAUGCAUUUAGGGCACUUGAUUCGUAGCCUGGUUCUGAACUGAAUUCAUGAAGUGAUCGUGAAACUGGAAUAUUCUGUUUGAAUCAUAACAGGCUACUUGUUGAGGAAGGUUGUGACAAUUGAAGCACAAAUCAUGAGGUACUCCCACUAUAUCACUGCCUGUGCUUAGUGCACACAGACAUGACCAGUUAUUGAAUUGUUUACACAAACCAUUGGUUAAAGAAGCCUAAACCUGUUGCAAUUCCCUGUCUACCGUACAGACUGCUCCUUUACCAAUGACCAGAACGGUGUCCUGUGAGGACAUUUAAUGUUCUCUUUCAGCUUGUACUGUAUUGGCUCUUUAACUGUGGUGACAUCCCAAAUGGCACCCUAUUCCCUACAUAGUGCACUACUUUUGGCCAGAGCCUAUGAAGAAGUGCACUAUAUAGGGAAUAGGGCACCAUGUCUUGCUCCUGUGUACAUUAUGAAUCAUUUCAAAGUAUUGCAUUUUAUUUUACACAAGACAACUGUCACUACUUCAGUUCUCUCAAAUACUGUAAAUCAUUAAAACAAUACAUGUCUAUGGAUUAGCAGAA